rnacentral:lncRNA from 1 species
UGCUCUGUUGCCCAGGCUGGAGUGCAGUGGCAUGAUCUCAGCUCACUGCAGCCUCCACCUCUUGGGUUCAAGCAAUUCUCCUGCCUCAGCCUCCCAAGUAGCUGGGAUUACAAGUGCCCGCCACCACGCCUGGCUAAUUUUUGUGUUUUUGGUAGAGUUGGGGUUUCACCAUGUUGGCCAGGCUGGUCUCGACCUCCUGACCUGAGGUGAUCCGCCUGCCUCGGCCUUCCAAAGUGCUGGGAUUACAGGUGUGAGCCACCGCGCCCGGCCCCAUGAUUAGCUUUUAAUCACCAUUUUCAGAAGGAGGUUGGUGGCAUGCGGGGGCCGGGCUGGGGUGGCUUCCUCAGCAUGACGUCUGUGCAGAUGAGGCUUUGCAUCGUGCUCCAAAAAUACUUACCAUGUUUUGCCAGAAGAGAGGCCACCUUCUGUCCUCCGCUGAGGAUUUGAGUCCUUUUGCCCUUGGUGAGAACACCAAAGAGGACCGCCGGAAUGCGAGUUCAAAAGCAGAUUUCAAUCCUAAAUCUCUUAAACAGUCAGCAUUGGCUUGUCUCACUAGAAUACCCUGUUUCUCUUCUAGAAUUCUUCCCCUGCCUGCCCCCAAAAUGUGAAGCUUGCUGAAAUCAACUUGAAAGGAGAUAGCACAUGCCUUUUGUUUCUCCGCUCUCCCCCUAUUUCUCUUCCUUCCUGCUCCCUGCAUAAUCUGAAUUCUCUGAAGGCAGGGGUCCUGUCUUACUCAUCUUGAUGUUCAUCGUGACUCGUACUGGUUUUUAACAAUUACAGAAUAACAUAUAAGCUCAUUCACCCUUGUUAGAACACUACAGAAAAGGCUGAAGUCUUCUUUCUCUCCCACUCUAUUCUAUCUCAUCUCUCUUCAGAGGUUGCCACCAUGAUAAACUAGGUAGACAUCAUUCCAGACAUUUUCAGAAGAGUUUUAUAUGGUUUUGUUGUGUGCAUUUAAAAAAAGCCAUCAUCCUGCAUGAACUGUAGUGCAGCUUGCUUCAUCCAAUUGACUGUGCCUAUGAUCUAUCCACACUGAUGCAACAAGAUCUAAUUUUGCCUUUUCAUUAUGUAUUAAGUACAUACGUGAUAUGCAAUAACCUGGCAUUUUAUUUAAUCAAUGCUUUACUAUUAGAUGUUUGGGUUGUUUCUAGUUUUUGCUUUAACAAACAAUGUUACAUAAGCAUCUAGUGUUCCGUUAAGUGUUUCUUUAGCAAAAGUAUCCAGAAGUGAACUGCUGGCUCACAGAGUAUGUGGAGUUUUAAUUUUCAGAGGCAAAGUAACAGAUUCUUGAUAUCUACCAGGGACACAGUAGAUACUUGUUUAAAUAAGCAGACGACUUGUUGGCAGGAUACAUGAUACAGGCUACAGAAGAAACACUCAGGCCUGAGAGUCAGCAAAUCUCAUUCCAGACCUGCUGUUGCUAUUAAUAUUAACCAGUUUUUGGGUAUUGGACAUUGUCUUCCCUUCUCUGAGCCUCAGUUUCCUGACCUGUACAAUGAGGGGGUUUGGUCAAAUGCUCUCAAGUUCCUGUCAGUGAUCAGAGCCCAUUUAUUAUAUAAGAUUGGUACCUGAGGGGUCCCCAGCCGCUCGAUCAGAGGGACCAGGUGGAGCGGGGCAUACUUGGCUUCCAGACGUUUCAUCCGGACCUCCAGGCGCUCCCCCUCUGCAAAAGGAGUCGCAGAGCAGAAAAUGAGACUCAGGGAACACAGGGCAACUGGGGAAGGAAAAACUCCCAAAGGACCUGAUGAUGUAUCUGCAUUCCAAAAAUGGGAUGGAGUGUGUGGAACUGCUCUCCUUCGUUCUGGAAAGUGUCACCAAAUAUCUAUUGAGUGCUUGCUCUGUGAUCUGGCAGACAACUCAAAGGCACAGAGAUGAAGAUGAAACACACCAUGGAGCCAGGGAAGGGCCUGGAUGCUGUGGGAAACACUACAACAGAUAAGAUCCAACAAAUAUAUUAAGAGGCUGCGAUGACCAGACCAUUUAUGGAUACAAGAUAAAUGACAGACAUAGCACUACCACUACAGAUUGCAGGAAGAAGGUCUUUUCAAGAAGUGGUGCCAGAACAAUCUGGAAAUAAAAGAUUUAUACUUCCCAUUAAACACAAACAUCAAUUCUAGGUGAAUAAUAUGGACUUAAAGGUCUGUUUAGCGUUGAAAGACUAACCUCUAAAACUUUCAGAGGAUAGCCCAUCUUCACGCGUUAGAGUAGGAAAGGUUUUCUAAACAAAUCACAAAACCGUAAGGGAAAAAAAUAACUACACUAAGCCUCAAGAACUUCUAUUCACCAAAAGACAAGCCAGAGUAAUAGAUCUGCAAUACAUGUAUCCAUAGUAUAUAAUGGCCACAAAUCCAUAAGAAAGAUGACUUAAAAAGGCAAGAAUGUUGACCAGCACUUCACAAAAGAUGGUGUCCAAAUGGCUAGUAGCAUGUGGAAGGAGAAUCAGCAUCAUUAGGGAAAUCAAAAUCAUAAUGAAACAUGACAGCCCCCCCAGAAUGGCUAUGAUUAAAGAGGGACAAAUUGUUUAUGAGGCUGCAAAGAAAUGAUAACUCUCAUACACUGCUGAAUGGGAGUAUAAAUUGGUACAAUUUGAAAACUGCUUUGAAGCUAACCUAAUAGGUAUUUCCCUAAUAAAAACAGGAGCAUCUAUACACCAAAACACAUGUACAAGAAUAUUCAUGACAUCAUUAUUCAUAAUAGUACCAAACUAUAAACAACCCAAAUGUCCACCCACAGUAAAACGGAUGAUUCAGUUAGUCUGUUCAUGCAAUGAGAAUACUAGAGUAACUGAUUCGGUAAUAAAAAAUGGAUCAUCUACAACAUGGAUGAAUCUCAAAUGUAAUGUUGAAUGACAGAGGUCAGAAAGGAAAGGGAAAACAUACUAGAUAACUCUACAUGAAGUUCAAGGACAAGCAACACUAUCUCUGGAAAUAGAACUCGGAACUACGAUUCCUUGCGGAACACUGAAGAGGGCAUGAAAGAACCAUCUAUGGUACUAUAAAUGUUCUGCGUCUAGACCUGGGCUACAUGGACAUGUGCCUUCAUCAAGCUGUACACUUAAGAUUUAUGCAUUUGACUGUAAUACAUUAAUUGAAACCACCAGAACACCCUAUAAAAACCAAAAACCAGAAAAAUGAUGCACAGCCCCCAAGGACUGGGAUCAAUAUUGGAAACCUGUGCUUUAGUUCUUCCACCUCUGCUGCUGCUAUGCUGUGUGACCUCAGGACUGGGCCGACUGGGAGCACCAUGUGGAGAACAGAGACAAACUGGAGUGCCUUGGGGAGGAAGGAGGAGAGCACAGUCUCUGAGUCAGCCAUGAGGCAGAGCAAAUACAAGUGGUCAUGCAGGAAGAAGAGUGCUGGUUCUGCGGGGUCCUAAGAGGGAGAUGUACGGGGGGUGUGCUUUGUUCAAUAUGACAACACUACCAAUGGUUUAGUUCUUACUGCAUGAGCUUUACAUGUGGUGUAUCUUUCUGGCCUUGAAACUAUCCUGCAGGGUAAAACAACUGUCCCCCAUCAUAAGAAAUGAAGGUAACAGUGCAUGUUCUCCCCUCAGCCUGGGACAGCUUCACCAGGCAAAUUCCUGCUCAUUCUCCAGGCCAUCUCCCCAGAGAAGUCCUUCCUCAACCUCAAGAACACAUCGAGUUCUCUGUCUUCUGUUCCCACAGGACCCUGCAGUCACCCCUCCUAGCUCUUGCUGUAACAGUAGACACAUGAUUUCGGUGUAAAUAUGGACAGGACAGGAGGCAGGGCUGGACACUGCUACAUGCCCCAGAACAGUGCCUGUCCUAUGAUAUCCAAGGAAUAAUUAUCU